GAUGAACGCUGGCGGCGUGCCUAAUACAUGCAAGUCGAGCGAACGGACGAGAAGCUUGCUUCUCUGAUGUUAGCGGCGGACGGGUGAGUAACACGUGGAUAACCUACCUAUAAGACUGGGAUAACUUCGGGAAACCGGAGCUAAUACCGGAUGAUAUUUUGAACCGCAUGGUUCAAAAGUGAAAGACGGUCUUGCUGUCACUUAUAGAUGGAUCCGCGCUGCAUUAGCUAGUUGGUAAGGUAACGGCUUACCAAGGCAACGAUGCAUAGCCGACCUGAGAGGGUGAUCGGCCACACUGGAACUGAGACACGGUCCAGACUCCUACGGGGGGUAGCAGUAGGGAAUCUUCCGCAAUGGGCGAAAGCCUGACGGAGCAACGCCGCGUGAGUGAUGAAGGUCUUCGGAUCGUAAAACUCUGUUAUUAGGGAAGAACAUAUGUGUAAGUAACUGUGCACAUCUUGACGGUACCUAAUCAGAAAGCCACGGCUAACUACGUG
rnacentral:rRNA from 1 species